UACAGAGGGUGCGAGCGUUAAUCGGAAUUACUGGGCGUAAAGCGUGCGUAGCCGGUUUUGUAAGUCGGAUGUGAAAUCCCCGGGCUCAACCUGGGAAUUGCAUUCGAGACUGCAAGGCUUGGGUGCGGAAGAGGGAAGCGGAAUUUCCGGUGUAGCGGUGAAAUGCGUAGAUAUCGGAAGGAACACCAGUGGCGAAAGCGGCUUCCUGGUCCGACACCGACGUUCAGGCACGAAAGCGUGGGGAGCAAACAGG
rnacentral:rRNA from 1 species